rnacentral:rRNA from 1 species
ACUCGAGUGGCGAACGGGUGAGUAACACGUGGGUGAUCUGCCCUGCACUUUGGGAUAAGCCUGGGAAACUGGGUCUAAUACCGAAUACACCCUGCUGGUCGCAUGGCCUGGUGGGGGAAAGCUUUUGCGGUGUGGGAUGGGCCCGCGGCCUAUCAGCUUGUUGGUGGGGUGAUGGCCUACCAAGGCGACGACGGGUAGCCGGCCUGAGAGGGUGACCGGCCACACUGGGACUGAGAUACGGCCCAGACUCCUACGGGAGGCAGCAGUGGGGAAUAUUGCACAAUGGGCGCAAGCCUGAUGCAGCGACGCCGCGUGGGGGAUGACGGCCUUCGGGUUGUAAACCCCUUUCGCCAGGGACGAAGAGAGAUUGACGGUACCUGGAGAAGAAGGACCGGCCAACUACGUGCCAGCAGCCGCGGUAAUACGUAGGGUCCGAGCGUUGUCCGGAAUUACUGGGCGUAAAGAGCUCGUAGGUGGUUUGUCGCGUUGUUCGUGAAAACUCACAGCUUAACUGUGGGCGUGCGGGCGAUACGGGCAGACUGGAGUACUGCAGGGGAGACUGGAAUUCCUGGUGUAGCGGUGGAAUGCGCAGAUAUCAGGAGGAACACCGGUGGCGAAGGCGGGUCUCUGGGCAGUAACUGACGCUGAGGAGCGAAAGCGUGGGGAGCGAACAGGAUUAGAUACCCUGGUAGUCCACGCCGUAAACGGUGGGUACUAGGUGUGGGUUUCCUUCCUUGGGAUCCGUGCCGUAGCU